UACAGAGGUCCCAAGCGUUGUUCGGAUUCAUUGGGCGUAAAGGGUGUGUAGGUGGCGCCGUAAGUCGGGUGUGAAAUCUCGGGGCUUAACUCCGAAACUGCAUUCGAUACUGCGGUGCUUGAGGACUGGGGAGGAGACUGGAAUUCAUGGUGUAGCAGUGAAAUGCGUAGAGAUCAUGAGGAAGACCAGUGGCGAAGGCGGGCCUCUGGACAGUUCCUGACACUGAGACACGAAGGCCAGGGGAGCAAACGGG
rnacentral:rRNA from 1 species